AUGCAGUUGUGCGCCUCCUAGCCAUGUUGGAGACGCAGCGUACGGCUCCGUAACACGUAGUUAAUCUGCCCUUGGGACGGGAAUAAUCCUGGGAAACUGGGGCUAAUUCCCGAUAGGCGCAGUGGCCUGGAAUGGUACUGCACUCAAAAGGCUUUAAGAACAUGCCUUUGGAGCUGCCCAAGGAUGAGACUGCGGCCGAUCAGGUUGUUGGUGGGGUAACUGCCUACCAAGCCUAUUACCGGUACGGGCCCUGAGAGGGGGAGCCCGGAGAUGGGAACUGAGACGAGGUCCCAGGUCCUACGGGGCGCAGCAGGCGCGAAAACUCCGCAAUGCGCGAAUGCGUGACGGGGUUAUCCCGAGUGCCGUCCGAUGAGGAUGGCUUUUCUUCAGUUUAAGGAUCUGUAGGAAUAAAGGGGGGGCAAGACUGGUGUCAGCCGCCGCGGUAAUACCAGCCUCCUGAGUGGUGGGGACGAUUAUUUGGCCUAAAGCGUCCGUAGCCGGCUUAAGAAGUCUUUCGUCAAAUCCGACGAUUCAAUCGUUGGCACGCGAGAGAUACUGUUAGGCUUGAGGGCGGGGGAGGUUGACGGUACUCCUUGGGUAGGGGUGAAAUCCUAUAAUCCUGGGAGGACCACCAAUGGCGAAGGCAGUCGACUAGAACGUGCCUGACGGUGAUGGACGAAAGCUGGGGGAGCGAACCGGAUUAGACACCCGGGUAGUCCCAGCUGUAAACGAUGCGAGCUAGGUGUUGGAGCAACUACGAGUUGCCCCAGUGCCGCAGAGAAGUUGUUAAGCUCGCCGCCUGGGAAGUACGGCCGCAAGGCUGAAACUUAAAGGAAUUGGCGGGGGAGCACCACAAGGGGUGAAGCCUGCGGUUCAAUUGGAUUCAACGCCGGAA
rnacentral:rRNA from 1 species